ensembl:lncRNA
CCUGAAGCAAGCGUAAAAGCAAUGGUAUAUAGCCAUUGUGUUAGCUGGGUACCUAGGCUAACUUUGUUGGACUUAGAAACAAACUCUCAGAAUGGAACUCAGUCAUAUAUAGAGGACUUACUGUACUGACAUGAAGACAAUCACUGCUCUGCUUCUGUCUUCCAGGGGGCUUUCUGAAUCACAUUAUCUCUCUUUGUAGUCAAUUGGAACUCGCUGAAAUCUAUGCAGAAAGUAGAAUUGUUGUGCAAAUCUUAUGUUGCAAAAAAAUAGAAACUGACGUCUUAAGGGAAAAAAAGACUGUUCAAGAUUGAAAACUAGCAACAUCAUAGAAAAUCAAUUGAUUGCUGAAGAGUGAGACUUGGAAAAUGGAUGUUUAGAGAGGUGUUACUGCUCUGAAAUCCUGAAAACACAAUGGCAGAGUGUCUAAAGGGAUGAUGAGGCAGAAAGCCAGAAGUACCUGGGGAUUCACGCAUAAACUAAGAAACAGCAAGGGCAGGCGAACAUCUCCAAGCUGCAGGCCCCUGUCGGAUGACCAGAGACUCAGAGGCUUAAAGCUACACAGGCUACACAUGAUGGGCUCAACACUCCGGGCUAAUGGGGUGUUAACAGUGCUGCCAUCUGCCAGGAGGCCCCGUCCUGCUUCUCGACUUCUGAGCCCUCCCUCCGUCUUCGUCUUCAAGGCCAUCUCCCAGAGUAGUCAGCUCCCUCUCAGUCUCCGACUGCUGUCUCCAUCUUUCAUUCGCAAAGGCCCUUGUGAUGGCAUUGGGCUCUCUUGGAUAAUCCAGGUAAUCUCUCUGGCUCAAGAUCCUUAAUUUAAUCGCUGCUGUGAAGUUCCUCCUGCCAUGUGACAUACCGUACUCAUAAGCUCCAGAGAUGGAAUGGGACGUUUUUGAGGGGAAGGGGUAUUAUUUGCUUAUCACAUUUGCCAUCCUUCAUCCUUGACCGUCCCCUGCCCCCAACUCUCAUACAAGUUCCCUCCCACCCGAGCAGCGUUUCCUCAAUAAAUCACUUACAUAAGAAUCAUUGUCUAAGGAUAUGUUUUGGGGAAACAUGACCAAAUACAGGGCAAUUGGAAAUAAAAAAUGAUGACUAUCCAUUAAAGCCAAG